GGAAAGGUCGCUAUUGGUAGGGUAAGCUGUUUGCUAUACAGUGCUUUUUAAGUCUGGGAGUUCGAAUCUCUUUCUUUCCG
rfam:Verticillium dahliae VdLs.17 supercont1.53 mitochondrial scaffold, whole genome shotgun sequence.